UGUCUCUUACUCUUUCUGUCUGUCUGCUUCUCCCUCCGUCUUUCUCUGUCUCGCAUUCUUUCAGUCUGUCUCUCUCACACUCUCUCCCUGUCUGUCUCUCAUUCUGCCUCUGUCUGUCUGUCACUCUUUCCAUCUGUCUCCCAGUCUUACAUGCUAGCUGGUGGUUUUGGACUGUCGGAGGAGCACCUGGAGGAAGCCCAUACGCUCCAUAGGGAAGAUGUACAAACACCUUACAGGGUACACUGGAUUGAACUCUAAGCUCUGAUGCCCCGCUACCACUAUGCUAUCGUGAUGCCCAAGGUCUGUUGGAGAUGAUAGGAAGUGAAGAUCAUGUCCAUGGUACACUGAGACGGACUGAAUCCAUGUUGUGAUACAAUGAGCAGCUUUUCAGCCACUGCAAGGAAGUUGUUGAAGAGGACCUUAGCAAUAACAUUGCACGUGGCAGACAGCAAAGAGACCCCUUUUGCAGCUCCCGUAAUUAGAGUUGUGCUUUUGUCAUGAAGCAUACGUAUUUUAGAGAAAGUGACUUUUUCUAGCUCUGGCUAGAAAAUUACAUUUGAUAUAAUUUUGUUGUUUGUACAUCUCUUCCUGAAUCACAACCUGAUUUUAUUGUAAAUACAUUUCUAAGGCUGGUUUCUGCAAGAAUCUCUUGCACUGCUCUCUACUUAAUAAAAUCAACCCAAUUAAGAUUUCUGAAAUCUGGUAA